CAAUAGCGUAUAUUAAAGUUGUUGCGGUAAAAAAGCUCGUAGUUGGAUUUCUGUUGAGAGCGACCGGUCCAUACCAUGUAUGCGUAUCUGGCUUGCUCUCGGCAUCCUCUCGAUAGACGUUACUGCGCUUGAUUGCGUGGUGCGGAUCUCGGGACUUUUACUUUGAGGAAAUUAGAGUGUUCACGGCAGGCUUUCGCCAGAAUACAUUAGCAUGGAAUAAUACUAUAGGCUCUUGGUUCUAUUUUGUUGGUUUCUAGAAUUGAGAUAAUGAUUAAUAGGGACAAUUGGGGGCAUUCGUAUCAACACGUCAGAGGUGGAAUUCUUGGAUUGUGUUGCGACGAACUACUGCGAAAGCAUUUGCCAAGGAUGUUUUCAUUGA
rnacentral:rRNA from 1 species